GAACUCACUUUGUAGCCCAGGCUGACCUUGAGCUCACUUUGUAGCCCAGGCUGGCCUUGAGCUCACAACGAUCCUCCUGCCUCAGCCUCCCGAGUGCUGGGAUUACAGGCAUGUGCCACCAUGCCUG
ensembl:miRNA